AGUGAACAUGUUUAAAGAUUGUUCUUUGGAGCAAAUUCCAUCUGCUUUGUCAGGAAAUCAGCAGUUUGGUUCACAAGAGUGCACAGAGGCAGCUCAGUCUACUUGUAAACACUUCACAGAUAUAUCAGCAGGUCAGUCCAGUAGUGUUGGGAUAGCAGCAGUGGUGGCAUGACUUAGCAGAGACAGCCAGGCCUCAGCCAAAUCAGCACGAGUUAGCAGGAGGGACCAGGACCAGCAGGGACCCCAGGAGAAGUUCUUCAACAUGCUCAACAAGGCAAAGACAAGAGACCAAGAAGCUUUGCAAAGCUAGCUUUGCAAGCAAGCCAAGCCUCCGUCACUGUCCCUUGACUCCUAUUUAUACUUCCACAAAACAUCGUGUGUCCUCCACAGGUCCUGCCUCAGCACGUGUCUUGCCUCAGCACGAGUCUGUCUUAGCAAAACUCCAUGUGACAAAUGGAGCUCAACAACACAUGUAAGGCAAACCAAAACAUGUAUGACAUUAGCAAAGAAUCCUUCAUCAGGCAGCCUCUCACAUGCUUGCUUCAGUGAAACAUCCUUUCAUCUGUGUUUGCAUCAGGAAAACACUCCUUCAUGUGUUUGGCCCAGCAAAAUACCAUCUGACGCAAUUGUCUUUCCAGAGAACCCUUAAUUUUCCACUUCAGUUCUGGGUUCUGUUGUAGGGAUUGAUUGUGCAGCUUAUGGGUAAAACCCAUAGACAUCUCUAGGCAGUGGUGUGGAAGCCCCUGCCCCAAGGCCACAAAUUCCUGUGGUGUGGUGGACACCAUGACUAUCUAAGUCCUGUGGAGCAAUUCAGCUCUAGCCUCCAAUGGCUCCCUCUGUAGGACACAGGCGAGUGCCUAAGUAUGGUCUCUGCUCUGCAUCUCUUAGAGAUGCAGUCAUGCAACUCCACCCUUGCUCCUCAAGGCGAGCUUUCUCCUGGAGGCUGUGAGGAGACUUUGAAGCACUCAAGCUGCAAUUCUCCCAGCAUGCUCAGUAAUAUCUGAGUGCAAGAAAACCAACCUGAGGUUUGGAAUAAGGCUCCAUUAUGUAAGUGCAAAAAUGGGACAGCAUCUAUCAGCUCUUUAGCAUAUAGAUAGAUGGAUAGAUCCUUAGCAUAGCACAGGCUCAGGGAAAGCUUCCAACUUCUCCAUCAGUGCUUUAAAUUGUGUUCCUCUGACUUGGGAAGGCAUAGAGUGAUAUUCAAAACGAGAGGCCAGCAGAGGGCUAGGGUGCAGUCCUGUCUAAAAGAGAGGCCAGCAGAGGGCUAGGGUACAGUCCUGUGUGUGGUAUGGAUCCCAGAAUGUCACAUCCCAUUAACAGCCUCAGUUCCUUUCCAUGCUCCAGGAGAGUGUUCUAGAUCCAGGGUGGCCAGCCUUCUCAGUAGAAGGCGGAAUCUCAAGGUUGUGUAGGGUUAUAUAGCUACUUUGCUCAUCACUGUGAUAGAACACCCGGCAGAAACAAAUAGAAAAUAUGUAUUCUAGCUUGUUGUUCAGAAGUCAUGGUCCAUCACGAUGGGAAAGACAUGGCAGCAGGAUCAGCUCUGUGGUAGUGGGAGCAUGGGGCAGCCAGAACCAGAGAGCUGAAAUGGGAUAUGGAGCCAACCUACAACCCUGUGUCCUGGCCUCAACAACCUGUUUCCUCCAGCUAGACCCAGCCUCCUAAAGGUUCCACAGUCCCCCAAAAGAGUGCUACCAACUAGGGACCAAGUCCAAACCUGUGAGCCUGUGGGAUACAUUUCACAUAACCUAAACCAUAACACAGGCCAUUCACUCACUCUGACUCUAUUUCAUGGCUGCUUUUCAAAGGCAUUGUGAGCUGUGCAUGACCUUGUGCUAACAGCUUCAUCUUCAGACACAGCUUGUGUUAGUCAUGCCAACCGGCUUGCCCAUCCCAGGCCUUGGUGGCCUCCAAAUGUCCUUUAAACUUCAGUCCCUUCAGCUGACAAUUGAUGUAUCCUCUCUAUGAAACCUGCAGCAAAGUUGAAGUUGGAUGGAUCAGUGGGCUGAUCGUGGGGAAGCCUUGAGCUGCCAACCAGAGACAUUGGAGGUGACAAGAAACGCCUCAGCCUAUGAAGCUCGGCCCAUCUGGGUCCAUCCUCCCACUAUUCCUCCCUGUAAACAUCCUUCAGAUGUGUUCACUUCUAUCAGAGUGACCCUCGGAAUCCGUGUUUUCGCCAUCACCACGAUGCAGAAGAUAGCUGGGGGCAAGGAGCAAAAGGCAGGCCACGGGUUACCAAGCCCCAGCCCCCUCUGUGCUGGGUGCCCUCACGCAGCUGGAUGACAGAGCCAAAGGCCUUUCUGCUGAGGAUCUCCCGUGGGCCUGGUUUCUCCCAGCUUGAAUCGGUUCCCAAAGUGGUUUCCCCUCUUCUCUGAGAGGUGGCAUCUGUAAGGAAGAGCCGGAGGCAGAGGCCGACUGCUCCUCUCAGCGCUUUCUCCGCCUCACUCCGAGGACUAAGUGGAUGGAGAGAGAGCUCCUAAUUAAAUCACGUCAUUAAAAAAAAAGGACACCAUUUUCUAUCUGAAUGCGCCCUGCAGUUCUCACGGUGGGUAAUUUGUCGUUUUAAUAAGCUGGAGGUUGAAUUCCAAGGUUGUAGCCACUGACGCUGCACAGAAACAGCCGUGGUGUUCUGGCAGUAUGCUCGCUCCUGGGAAGGUUCCCGGGAAAGCUGGCAAGUGGCAAGUCCUUACACAAACUCUGCUUGCUGGAGACCUGGGAGCCAACUAGUGUUUCUCAACAUGCUGUAGAAGGUCAAUCUGGGCCAAGGAGAUAAACGAAAGCCUUUUGCUAACUGAAAACCUGAAAUGGGAUGUGAUGGUGGGGCUCCUGCCUCUGUAUGUCUGAGCAGAAGUGUCCCAUCUUCCAGCCUCAUUCAGUUCUGGGUUAGGGCGGCUGAAGGGGCCACAGUGCUUGGAGUGUCCCCAUCAGUUCUAGCUCAAAGCAGCUUGGGUGACCUUGGUCGAGGGACAGGGAGCUCUCUCGCAGGCUGGCCAUUCUCAUCUGUGGACAUGACAUGGCAGUAACUCUGACCCCUCAGGAAGGUGAAGGUGACAAUCAGAGGAGGUAGUUGGUGGCUGAUAAAACUGAAGCUUUCACCUCUCCACAUUCGAGGAGGUAGAGGGCAAAGACCUUAGGAGCAGUGUAGGGUGCUUCUGGAUUCAGUAUCCUUUACAUCCAGGAGCAUAGCUUUGUGGCUGACAUGGGUAGAAAGAGACUACAGUGAGGACUUCUAUUGGCUGGGAACUGAGCAGCUGUGGUUGGCUUGGACAAGCAGGGCCAUCCUUGUACGGGCUGCCAACCAACUUUGUGUUCUUGGCCUGGCCCUGCUUGGGAUUCUUUCCAGACUUCCUGAACCCUUUUCUCAUGGUCCCUUGAGCUGCCUGUACACAGAGGCCCCUCUGUUACUCUUCUUCAGCAACAGUCAACACGCUGAGACCAUUUUGUAUUCCCCAAGACCCUGGAGAAAGUUUUGCAUUGGCUUGCUACCUUCUGCCCUCCACCCCACCCACCCCCCAUGUUUUCACAUCAGUUAGGCUUCAGGUAAAAUUCCACUGAAGGCUUCCCUGAUAAGCACAGACUCUAAUUGUAUUGAUUCUACAGAGAUCUGUGCUUAUGAACCUGACAGCAUUAGUCUCUUGGUCCCUGUGAUUACCUGAUGAUCACGGAGCUGCUCUGUAGGCACAGGGUCCCCUGGGGAGGCUGAUGGACCAGGGCCAGCCCUCUGUUGUGAGGCACACUCCCAUCCUCUUAGAAAAUAGAAAUCUGUGGCUCGAAUCGAUGUGCUCCCCUGCGGCCCAGCACCUCAUAGCCCAUCCUUUUGUUGGCACUCGGUGGCGGCAGCUGUUUGGGUCUGUUUUCCUUCUGUUGGGAACAAGCUUCUCCUUGCUACAGUUUCCCAGGGGUCCUUCACCACACAAGCAGCCAGGACUCAGCCUCACUCAGGGCUCUGUUAGUGCAUUCUCAUGUGCAUUUCCCAUUUCUCUUCUUCCCUCCUCCCUCCUCUCAUCCUCUCUCCAUCCUUUGUGGCCAAGCACUUGCUCUUCCUGUGUCUCACCUUUCCUCUCAGCUCAGUGGCUGUUGGUUGGGCAUGCGAACAGUAGGCAACAGCACUUACGAGUGACAUGGCCUCUGUUAUCAAAACCACAACCCUCAGCCUAGCAGAAACCAGUCUUACAUCAUCACGUUCCCCCAUCCUACAUGGGGGCCUGAAAAUCUAGAGAUUGUUAUGGUAACGACAGAUGUUAAAUAAAAUUAGAAGGAAUUUUAGGGGGCUGAAGAACUGGCUCAGUGGUUAAGGGCCCUUGCUGCUCUUCUAGAGGAUCUGAGUUCAGUUCCCAGCAGCCGUGUUCAUUGGUUCAAGCUUCAGGGGAUCCAACGACCCUGCAGCAUUCGUACAUUCACAGACACAGAAACAUGUAACAAUCAAAUAAGAGUAAGGUUAGGGUUAAAACAGUGGUGAGGACACUAAGAAAGGUGAAUAAAGGGCAUGCUGCAUGGUGUGAGGCAACCAAACUGCCGCUGGGGGAAGGGGCAGGGGCGGAGGAAGGAUAGGGCUCUGGGGUAGUAGAGAUGAAAUAUAGAUAGGUUUUAAAAGAUGUUAACUCAAGAAUACUGGAGGGGAGUGGGAGUGUUUGCUAGCUUUGGGCAGGUUUAGAAGUGCCCAACCACCACCACCACCAGCACUGGAAAGAGAGGCCCAUUAGACACGCAAACUUUAUAUGCCCCAGUACAGGGGAACGCCAGGGCCAAAAAAAAAAAAAAAAAAGGGAAUGGGUGGGUAGGGAAGUGGGGGGAGGGUAUGGGGGACUUUGGGGAUAGCAUUGGAAAUGUAAUUGAGGAAAAUAUGUAAUAAAAAAUAAAAAAAUAAAGAAGUGCCCAACCAAAGAGCUAGUCAAUGCUUAUCAAAAUUAGCUGGUGUGCAUGCGUGCCUGUGUCAGGGAGCCAAAGAGAAUUAACCAAUUCACUGCUACAGUGUGGGCCACCACAUCUAGCAGAUAAAAUGGCUAAUCUUGACUGUCAAUUUGAUGAGAUUAGGAUUGCCAGAGAAACAAACCUCCGCAAAAGUCUGUGAAGGGUUAUCUAUUAGACUAGCUGAGGUGGAAAGACCCAGCCUAAGUGUGGGCGAUGGCCCCGUUCUCUGGGCUAUGUGGUUCUAGAUUGCAUAAGAUGGAGACUGAGCUGAGCAUCAUCUGCUUCCAGACUGCAGAGUCCUGAGACCAGCCACCUCAAGUUCCUGCUACCAAGACAUCCCCACCACAGUGGACUCCACUCUAAAACUGCAACAAAAUAAACCCUGAAGUUGCAUUCCUUAGGUAUCUUACCAUUGCAACAAAAUAAAUGACCAAUACAGCCAGCCAUGAUGGCACAUGCCUUUAAUUCAGGAUUCAGAAGGCAGAGGUAGGUAGAUCUCCGAGGUGAAAGUCAGCCUGAUCUACAUCGUCAUUCUUAGGUCAGCCUGGGCUGCAGAGUGAGACCUGUCUUAAACCAAAUGAGGGCAUUGCCAAGGAAGCUCCUGUGUGUCCACAGGCUCCUUCUGCUCCACUGGAGGCUAUGGAGGCCUGAAAAGGAGCUAAAGGCACCUUCUCCAGAGUUAUCACUCCUCUAGCUAAGGAGCCCUCUCUGUACCUAUUCAGAGUCUGUAGGGGCGUGGCUUUGUAGUCUCUUUUUCCGGUUUCUGGGAUCCCAGCUGGCCUAAAAGUGUGGGGAUGCUUCUGCUCCUCUGGUAUGAGAGUCUGAGCAGCGCGUGUAGCUGGCCGCAUCUGCUGACCUAGUUCUCAGCCCUGCAGUGGUGCCUGAGAGCAAGUAGAGCUAAGUCAAGUCUCAUGUUUCCGCUUCACACUGUCUCCCUCAGCCUAAACCUGGGCUGGCUCCUCCUGUUGUCGUCUCCCUGUCUCAGAAAUAAUGAGGCAUCAUGGGUCGGCUGCAUGUUGCCUAUGAACAGCAAGUGGUGGCCUUGAGUGGGGGAUGUUUGCUAAGAGGAGCCGUGGAGGGCAGAGGCAGCACCAGCUGCUCAGCUAGCAGUCCUGGAGUCUGUGCCAGCAACAGUCCAUCUGCUUAUUCAUGGAACUGGACAUAAUAAAUCCAGCUGUUGGCUGAUGUUGCAAAUGGACCUUUUGCUAGUGCUGAUGAGAACAAACUAAGUAAUAGGCUGUGUCCAGAGCUGGGUAAUGGCCAUCUAUUAGCUUCUGUGGAAACACUCACGUUAAGAAAAUCACAUCUUGUGUGGCUCUGCAGCUGAAGGAACAGCUUGUUAAAAUUUUCCACUCAGGCAGCCUAGAGAGCUCUCAGGGUUUAUAUACCAAAGACCAGGAGUGUUUACUGGAAAAGCUGAAACCCGCACAGGCUCAGUGGAUGCCAGUGACCUACCUUAUGAAAUCCCCUUAUGAAAGUUAACCUUUCUGGAUGGGGACAGCAGCAGUGGGCUAGUGGAGAUGAGGCAGGGGACGCAGCAUGCACAUGUUGUCUCUCUCAGUGUGUCAGUUGGUGCCAUAGGACAGACUGUAAUUGCCUGUUACAAGAAGAGCAAGAUCACACUUCUAACUCCCUGGGCCAGAAGCCACUCAGCUGCUCCACUAUGACAAGGAUCACCAGGCUCAUUCCUUGGCUUGGGAUGUGGCUCUUUCCACUGAGAGGUGUCAUAUCAACCUUUGGGCAUCACACAGUAAAUGGUGUCGCCAGGAACUGCUGUCAGUUGCAGGGUCUGGAGACUUUUUGGAAAGGUUUUGGUAUUAGGGAAAGAGAGUACAUGCAAGGCAGUGCAGAAGAGCUUCCAGAACUUUCCUAAGAAGCAGCAGCAGAUCUGAAAUCAGUUUGCCUGUUUUACCAGUGUCGGGGGUUGAACUGAGAGUACUGGGCAAGCACUCUUCCACUCAGCUCUAUCCCCCAGCCACACCUCCUUGGCCCUCUCUCAGUCUGUAGCUGUCAGUCUUUCUGGGCCUUGCCAGACUGUCGUUGUGCACUGGAAGACAGAAAUCAUGGUCUUUAUUAAGGCACAGCUUCUCUCAGCCCUGAUCUUGGCUCCUGACUCCUUUCUACCAUUUCCCAGAUUCCCUUCUGGGGACCUGCUUGCCUUCCUUGCCCCUCACAGACAUUCUCUCUGCCUACUAAACAUCUACAAUUAUACCUGUAAUCUCACCCUCGAGAGACUAAAGCAGGACAGUCAGUUUGCGAGCUAUCAGGAUUACGCAGUCUGAACUUCAUUAAGGAAACAAACAAAAAGCAACAAAACCAGACAAACAUGCCCCAGCCCCAGAACCCUCCCGAGCCUGUCUGUCCUCUUGCUACCUUCUGAUAGAUUAGCAGCUGCUCUCCUUCUUUGCUCUCCUAGAAGACAAAUAUAGCUGCCUCCUUCCCCACAGGGUAUAAAGAUAUAAUUAGAUUACAUGGUGAGCAUAGUUUGACUCAGUUCUUCUGGUUGCCAAUACUCGCCAGAGGCAAGGCAGAUGCCAAAGCCAAGCUCUGGGACUUCCACUCUCCAGAACCAUGGGCCUACAGGGGCUUCUGUUGGAGACUGACCACGUAAGAGCAUUCAUUCCUUGGGUACCAGCUCCUCAAGUAGCACUUGUACACAUGGGAAAUGACUACUGCUUUCUUCCUACCACGUAUCCCUAAAUAAGCCUUGGCCGACUGUCUGAAUACUGCCUUGCCAUUUAUAUUGCCUUAUGGCUAUACCAUAGAAUAAAUCGUACAUUUACUGUGAUGACAAGUCUUGAUUGGCACCUUGACUGGAUCAAGAAAUAACUAAGAGACGCACUUCUGGAUGGGUCUGUGAGGGUGUUUCUAAGAAGAAUAACUCAGUGGGGGAAGAGCUUCCCUUCGAAGAUGCAGUCCCUUUCAAAGGUGGUUCAGAUAUGAGGAGGUCUGAGGAAAAGUGUUGCCUGCCUGCUUGCCCAUCGCCUGUGAGUUGGACAAUAUGGGUCACAUGGGGUUGCUACAGAAUGAAAAGGAAGCAUCUCCUACUGACUCUUGUGCUGCGCACUUAAUGCCCAGCUUUGUGGGACUAUCUUGGGAGGAGAACUUCAGACGGUGAGACCUAGUUGGAGGAAGUAGGUAACUGGAAGCAGGCCCUGAAUGGCACUUUGUCCCUGGUCCUGGCCCCUUUCUGUCUGUGUUUCUUCUUGUGUGUCACAAGUGGAAAACCUCCUCACCAUGAAGUUCUGGGACCAAGCAACUGUGAGCUGAAACCUCUGAAUUCUUGACCCAAAAUAAAACUGUAUCCUCUUGUUUCUAUCAGA